rnacentral:rRNA from 1 species
AUUGAACGCUGGCGGAAUGCUUUACACAUGCAAGUCGAGCGGCAGCGCGGGGGCAACCUUGGCGGCGAGCGGCGAACGGGUGAGUAACAUAUCGGAACGUACCCCGUCGUGGGGGAUAACACAGCGAAAGCUGUGCUAAUACCGCAUACGACCUGAGGGUGAAAGCGGGGGACCGUAAGGCCUCGCGCGAUGGGAGCGGCCGAUAUCGGAUUAGCUUGUUGGUGAGGUAAAGGCUCACCAAGGCGACGAUCCGUAGCUGGUCUGAGAGGACGACCAGCCACACUGGAACUGAGACACGGUCCAGACUCCUACGGGAGGCAGCAGUGGGGAAUUUUGGACAAUGGGGGCAACCCUGAUCCAGCCAUUCCGCGUGAGUGAAGAAGGCCUUCGGGUUGUAAAGCUCUUUCAGCAGGAACGAAACGGUGGCUAAUAACACUAGCUACUAAUGACGGUACCUGAAGAAGAAGCACCGGCUAACUACGUGCCAGCAGCCGCGGUAAUACGCAGGGUGCGAGCGUUAAUCGGAAUUACUGGGCGUAAAGCGUGCGCAGGCGGUUCCAUAAGACAGAUGUGAAAUCCCCGGGCUUAACCUGGGAACUGCGUUUGUG